rnacentral:rRNA from 1 species
UACGGGGGGGGCAAGCGUUGUUCGGAAUUACUGGGCGUAAAGGGCUCGUAGGCGGCCACCUAAGUCGGAUGUGAAAUCCCCAGGCUCAACCUGGGAACUGCAUCCGAUACUGGAUGGCUUGAAUUCGGGAGAGGGAUGCAGAAUUCCAGGUGUAGCGGUGAAAUGCGUAGAUAUCUGGAGGAAUACCGGUGGCGAAGGCGGCAUCCUGGACCGACAUUGACGCUGAGGAGCGAAAGCCAGGGGAGCAAACGGG